rnacentral:rRNA from 1 species
AUUGAACGCUAGCGGCAGGCCUAACACAUGCAAGUCGAGCGAGCGGCGGACGGGUGAGUCAUGUAUGGGGACUGCCCGAUAGAGGGGGAUAACUACUGGAAACGGUGGCUAAUACCGCAUACUGUCGGCUAAACCAUAUGGGGUUAGCUAGUAGGUAAGGUAAUGGCUCACCUAUGCGACGAUCCCUAGCUGGUCUGAGAGGAUGAUCAGCCACACUGGGACUGAGACACGGCCCAGACUCCUACGGAGGCAGCAGGGGGGAAUAUUGCACAAUGGGCGAAAGCCUGAUGCAGCCAUGCCGCGUGUAUGAAGAAGGCCCUAGGGUUGUAAAGUACUUUCAGUCGGGAGGCGUUACCGACAGAAGAAGCACCGGCUAACUCCGUGCCAGCAGCCGCGGUAAUUC